UUCUCCUGCUGAGGAGAGACUGCAUUAAGUUAGACUAAUGAAUACUGAAUCAUUUUCUCAUCCUCAGGGUGGACACCCCUGUCAGGGCUGAGUCACUGUGCAAGCAGUAUGCUGAAAUGAUUUAAAAUGCAGCAGCCUCUAGUGCUGGUGACAGAUGGAUAUAAACUUUGGGCAUGAUACACACUCAUUUCUAGGCCUUCACAAGCCACCAGUACAAAUAUACAAGAAAACAAAAGAUAAACUGUGAUAAAAGUCCCCCAUUUGUGCAUACUUGAAGAAAAUGUAAAGUGGACACUUUUUCACAGCCUUUUCAAAUCACCAAAGAGGACUCUCUUCUAAGGUCGUCAAAGGUGGAUACUUUAUUCCAAGGUUACUUUGCUGCUUUUUUUCUUUCCAGAAGACUGCAGAACCCCCUGCAAUAAGCAAUGUGUUACCUCUGCCUAAUGAAACCCCAUCUUUUACAUUUUCUGCUGAAAACUUCUUCUGUUGCACUCACAACUUUACCUCGUUAGCUGGAGGUUGUGGUGGCCUACAGCUGGCCUGUAGGCCUCAAAGUAUAAACAAUUAUAAAAUUAUAACAGAAAUAUGUGAUCACUUACAUAAUUACCUUACUUAUAUAAUUCGACCAGUAAGAGCAGGCCCAGGCCAUUGGAGACUCAGGCUUCUAUUGCCUGGCUGACCAGGAUUAACCUCAUGGGAUCCCAAGCUUGCUUAUUGAGUGUUGUUCUGAUGAAGGCUGUUGUAGGAGUACUGUCACACCCAGCACGGUAAAGACAUACUGGACCCUGAUCAGAAAGAUGACUUCUUUUCACAAACCCCUUUCUUGAGCCUGCAAAUGGAGCUUAAUCUCCACAUCAAUUUGGUACUCCUUUCCUCUUCUUGGUUUAUCUGCCUCAGCAUCAACUCAUGGAAACUCUCUGGGCAUCAGUGGAUCAAGAUAAACCAGAAAGGUUUAAGGAUGCAAGGAGAUGCAGCACUAUUAAGGAAAUGCUUCUGUUGGACUCAGCUCUUUCCAGGUUAUGGGUUUCAAGCAUUGCAGAACAUAGGGCAAAAAAAAUUUCUAUUCUAUACAGAAUGAAUUGCUCACUGGCCAUUUUCCAUGUGGGAUGGUGAAAAACAUGAUCUGGUCCUUCUUCCCUCAUAGAAAAUGUCAUCCUUUCUCUUGAAGUUUCUAAUAUCUAGAAAACCAAGAAAUUGUCCUUCCUACUCUCAGCUAUUCUAGUAUUCCAGUAUAUAGCUGUUAGAGAUAUUUUCAUGUCAGUCAUUUGAUUUAAGGAACCACUGAAGUCUUGCACUGUUGUAUCAAGUUCUGAAGGCACUUUUGUCUCAAGUGCUGAAGGCUUGCAAAUUUCAGCAGGACUUCACUCACUUGUGUUCUGCAUUUGCAUAGAGGUAGAUAAUUCAGGAGCAGACCAAAAUGAAAGCAAGACUGCAGAAGUUACAGAGAUGAACAGGUGAACCUUUCCUACACAGAGGAGAGUCCUUGAGGGCUUCAAGAGGAAAGCUCUCAAUGUGUCAUGUUCUGCAGGCUUUUCCCACCUGUGUUUGGCUCUCCGGCCUCUUUCAUUGCCGGGUAUACAGGCUUUUUUUCCUCCCUUAUUCAAAUGGUUGUUAUAAAUUCACUACUUCACCAUUUCACUCAGAGCUGUAAAUUGUUACCUGUGAUCUGAGAAAUAAUCAACUAUUUAUCCUGAUCAUGAAAAAUCUCUAUUGUACUUACUGUGUGGGAGGACUUUCACAUAUGGUGAGUUUACCCAACCUUGUAUAAAUACUGUAGCCAGGUGUGACAGCUGAGACAGGCAUCCCUUGGCUUCUGCAGUCCCUGGGUUUCUGCAAACUUUUGAUUAUUUUUGCUGGCAGACAGAGUGCAGAAAUUUAAUGGUGAAGUAUAAACAGCCUUAAGGAAAUAGAACAUUUGAGGGAUGGUGUACAUAGGAGAAAAGAGAGAAGUAAGUAGAAUUAAAAUGUAGCAGACCCCCUGAGAGAAAUUAUUGCCUGGCAAUUUAGAGUUAUUUCCAUUUUUAAGUAGUCCUUGUGAGGAAGAGCAAGAGUCAUUUUCAGUCUAGCAUUUGAAUAUUGAACUAAUGGAGAAAUGGCAGCUCUGCAGUGGCUUCGGCAGAGAUCCAAGUGUUUUUUCCAGAGAGACCUUUUUCUGCUCCAUAUUUAAAUUACAUUUGUCUCAGAACUGCUGGAGUCUAUUUUAAGAUAAACAAAGAUUUCAUUUAGCCUUGUGAUAUUUUCAAGCUUCACCAAGAAGCAGUGACAGUAUGAAGGGAUCAAACACUCUAGUGAACAACAGCUUUGGGGAAAAGGCCUUGGGUUAGCAGAUGCAGGACAUUAAAUCCAGGAGCACGUACACCACCGACACUUUGGCCUACGUGUCAUUAAAAACUAUCACUGAAUCUCCUACAUAAAGCACCCAAGUAUGCCCAAGGAGGGUGUGGAGGUGCUGAGAGAAGCAUCUGCUGUAAACUGGCUGGCUGGCAGAAGCGAGGAGUGACCCGUGUGCCUCUGAGUAACCUCCCACACUGCAGACCUUGUGGCACUGUGAUUGCAGCCCCAAGGUCCGGGUCUGUGCCUAGGCACACAUUCAUGUCUUUUGCUUUGAAGCACCUGAGAAGAAGGGGCCCACAGAGCAGUGUAUUUACAGACUGACAGCAGGAGGAUAUGUUGGGUGCUCUGGGGCCUGACAGGAGGUUAAGUGAAGACAGUACACUCAGUAGGGCAAGGUUUGCAAAUCUUUGGAAAGGGAACAUGCCACAAGCUAUCAGAGUUACACUCAGGCUCUUUGUCUUGGAUUCACUCUAAAGACACACCAAGAGGCCAGAGGACUCCUUCUUCUGCAAUGUGGUCCAUCAGGACCCAGCAACAAACCAAGAAACUGGGUUACAAGACAGCACAAAUAUAAAACAGGUCACACAUCUCACUGGCUGAGGGCACCCUAAUAUUAUGUUUGAACAGAAAGAUAUUUGCAUCACUCAGUUGUCUAUAUUUUUUACCAAUGAGGUUGAGUGACACAAUGCUACCCUGGGUUGUCAAUGCUUUGGGCUGAUGUACUAUGCUUCUGUUACAGACCUAGGGAAAACAAGGAUAAAUUUUUAAAGAUUGAUUUAAGGUUUUUAUUCCAAUGGAAUUUUGCUAUAAAAAUCUAUGACUUGAGUAGCAUGUGUGUAUUCAACACAGCAUUUGGUGUCAGAAGACAGGAAGAAUUUGUGACUUUUGAAUGCCAAGAUAAUAUCCCUUCCACCCGUAAAAUACCUGUAAUAUCCCUGCCAGCUGUAAAAGCUGUGUAACAGAAUGAGGUCACUAAUCUAUUGGCCCAGGAUGGACUUGCAGCACCUAUUUAGUCAAACAAGUCAAUAUCCAGCUCAUUUCUUUCCUUCUCCUGAAACAUUUACAUGUUAAGUAUCUUCCUACUUUUAAUGCACAGAAAUUCCUUACGUUUUCAGAAGCAUAAUUUUUAAAGAACACUGAAAAAUUGAAAGUGCUUUGUUACUUCUAUAAAUGAAAGACAGUUUGAGAAUUUGGUUUUUGUUUGGAAGGUAUAUUUUAAAAUGAGAUUUAAUCCAGGCAACCAGAAAGCAAAUCUGCAAUGUGCAGUCAGUGCAUAGCUGAACAGUAAUUUUGUGAGGUUUGGCUCAAAAUGCUGUAAAAAUAAGCUUUUCUAGAGAAUGCCAGCAUCUCCAAAUCCCUUUUUAAAGCAUAAUGAAAUAGCUUCCUUUUCUAUUCCUAUUCUUUCAAUCAAAAGGAAAAAACCCCACAUUUCCACGUGCAAUGUUAGCUACUGUUCCUAUUUUAAUCGCAGGGAUGGGAAUGUAGGGCAGUCUUACUGUUGCAGUCAGUGGAUAUAAAAUCACACUUCUGUGGCAGGACUACACCCGACAUUAAAACAGGGCAGGGAUGUACAAUCCAAGCAAGGCUGAGUGGAGCUGUUUAGCCUGGCAGUGCAUGUUUAUUUAGCUGGAAAGAAGCUAUGGAUCUAGAGAAGGGCAACUAAAAUUAUUAAAGAUAGAGCAGUUGCCUACAUAAAGAGACAACUACAACUCUCAGCUGGGAGAAGGAAAAACUGGAGGGGGUGCUGUGGUUUAAGGCCAGCUGGAAAUUAAGCACCACGCAGCCAUUUGCCCAAUCCCCUUCUUCCCCACAACAUGGUGGAACUGGGAGGAGAAUCAAAAUAAAACUGGUAGGUUGAGAAAAUAACAGUUUAAUAGAGAAAGAAAAACAUGCACACACAAGCAAAGAAAAACAACAAUAAAAAAUGUACCACCUUCCAUGGGCAAGCAGGUGUUCAGCAUCUCUAGAGAGCACAGCCCCAUCAUGUGUGACACUGACCUGAUAAGAGAAACGCCAUCACGGCAAAUGUCCCUCACUUCCCCUUUUUUUUCCCCAACUUUGUAUACCGAGCAUGAUGUCAUAUGGUCUGGAGUAUCCCUUUGGUCAGUUGGGGUCACGAGUACAGGGUGUGUCCUUUCAACCUCCCAGGCACCCCCAUUCUCCUCGCCAGUGCAGCAAUAGAAAAAGCAGAAGUGGCCUUGGGUUUGUGGAAGUCCUCCUCAAUAAUAACAAAAACAUCUGCGUAUUAUCAACUCUGUAUUCAGCACAAAUCCAAAACAUGGUCCCAGUACCAGCCACUGUGAAGACAAUUAAUUGUACCCCAGCCAAAACCAGCACGGAGGGCUAUGAUGAAAACAUGAAGGUGCUGGUGAGUGAAAUGAAUAAUCUAUUGUUCAACAAAUUCUGUGGGACAAGAACUAGAUACCAGCCAAUGAAACUCAGAAAAUCAGUAGGAGAAUAUUGGCUUCAUCAUGUUCAUGGAGGGAUUCAUGGUCAAUUCGUGGUCAAAAAAUCCAUAAAUAGAUACUAAAGGGAGAUGGUCAUGGACGUGUCCUCUAGCAACAUGUAUCCAGUGAUUGUGAAUGCUGGGAGACAACCAAGAGAAAUGGGCAGGGUUUUUCUUCCCAGUGUCAGGCAGAAGAAAGGUCUAGGCAGAUCACUGUUGGGAUGCAUAGUGUUUCUCAUGCUCACACUGGGGGACAUACACACUCUAGAAUAACUGAAGUGUACCUACACCAUGCUCUGUCAUGUGACACACCAUGUGUGUCAUGUCCCACUCUCUCACACAUGGUACCGAUGUGGGAUUAUUUCUAGAAACAAAAAAAAUUAUUUCUAGAAACAAAAAAAUACAACUAUGAACUAGAUUCAAAAGAUGCAUGCAAGGGAUUCCUGUGUACCAGUUACUGAGCAGAAUGAAAGUACUGCCACUUUGCAGGCUACUAGCCAAAACAUGAGUUGACCUGGCAUCAAAGAGGCCAACCACACAUAAUACACCAUAGUAAGACUAAUUUCUGCUCUAAAGAAAUGAAACCCAAAACUUCAAUUUGAUCUUGUCUUUUUUUUUUAUACAGAGGACACAUUACCAGUUUCACUGGUUGCUAUCUGAUGAAUCUAUGCCCUGUAUUAACCCUGAAGUAAAAAUUCAAAUGGAGCCUUCUAGUGCCACUCCUGCUGCCUAUGUAUGGCUAUAGAAAAAGACAGUUAAUUUCUAAGAGUACAUGUUCAGGAGUUCUGGAUCUGGCUACAUUAUUGCUGAAUUAUUAAUAUUUUCCGUAAAUUUAUUGGGAAUAUUGGGUAUUAUGUAAUAUCAUAAAUUAAGCUAGCUUUUUGAGAUUGACCUAAGUGGCACUCCUGAGAGUUUAGACCAUAACUUUUUCUAUUCCUUAUUUUCUCCUAUCUGUAAAAUGGAGACUCCACAUGUUGCAGAACUUUUGCUGUUAUUAAUGUUUAUACAGUGCUCAGAAAAAGAAACACCAUACAAAGGCAAAAUAUUAUUGCUUUUAUAAAACUUCAUGGACUUGUCUUUUUUUUUUUUUGUUUUUAAUUCCCAUUUGACCUUUCAAAGGGGUGAAAGCUGAACUUUCUCCUUUUCCAAAAUAUCAUUUCAGGUCUUAUGAUUUAAAACCUUUAGCUUCUUUGCUUUAGCGUUAGUCAGCACUAAUGGCUAAAGCACAUAUAUCCCAUCUGAUAUUUUGAAAUUGAGGACUAAACAUUUUUAAAACAAUGAUGGCUAGGAAACAGACAUACUUUAGCCAUACUUUACUGGACCGCAGAACUUACAAUGACUAGAUUUUAAAAUAGUAAUUUUGUUAAACUCUUAUGGUAUGUAGUAAUUCAAGAGCAACACUUUCCUACCUUAUCAUUUCUUGUGUUCACCCUCUCUUUUUUCAGGUAACCACCUGACUCACACCACAAAAGCCUUGGAUAUGGCUGUAGGUGUAUGCAGUACCUGCACACACAUCCCUCAACAAUGACACAGCAGUUUCCUUCCCAAAAAGCACCCUUCCAGAAAACACCAUCUUCUAAGAGAAUACAGUAUAUUUUUUAGGCCACAGUUUCAGCAGAUGCAGUUAUGAAUAACUACAACCUGUUAAAUUUUUUUAAUACUAUGUUAUGUGAAGAUAAGUGUUUAUCUGGCAGUGCAGAAGUUCAGUUGUCAAUCAUCAGUUAGAUAAGCAGAAUGUUUAAGCCUAUCACAUCUCUUUUGUAAAGUAAUGAUAUUAUGACUGUAAAGAAACCAGCACAAACAGUUCUGACAUCAUAAGACAACUACAAUAAAGUUUGAUACAUCAGCAUGACAACUUUUAACAGACUGUUUAACAUGACAAUUUUUAUAAAGUAAAAUGUGGAUUUCAGGAAUGCAUUUCUGGCUGUGCAAAUUUUUAAUGAUCUGUAAAAUUACAUUCAGCCACAUAAAUUAUUCAUAUAUUUGUAUACAAAGAACUAAAUUGGGAAAAUGUCUUUAAAUACAUUUAAAUAACCACUUUGUUGAUAGCAAAAUAUCGAUAUUAUUUUUAGAAGAAAUGAUGGUCUGAUUUUAUUGCCCUUUGUAAGAAAAAUGCAAGGUGACAUUGUCUUCUGAAAGAAAUUUUAACAUAAAGGUUAUUAUUCAAACGUAUAGUCAAUAUAUAAAAGUUGCUUCUUCAGGAGACUUCACCUGCAUAAAAGUCACUCUAUCUUGCCAUUAGAACUCAUUGACAAAUGUUUUUAAUUUAUGUUCAGUGUAAUGGAACAACUCUGUCAUUUCUUCCUGUGUGGACAGUUAUUGCCACUUAGGAGUUUUAAGUCACAUUUAACCUUGGACAAUACUGAUUUUUCCUUUUGAUGGUCCCUGGACCAAGAAAUGAUAUCUUGGUUGCACUCAGCAAUUUUGUCUUUAGUGCCCAUCUUCUUCUUGGUUCAUUUAUGUAUUUCCCAAGGUGUAUUUUCUCAAUGUAAGCUUAUUUAAUAAAGGAAAUGGACAAUUUCCAUGCUCUUAGUUAUUUGUUGCCCUAAUGUUUUAAGUAUCUUUGAAUUUCUCUAUAUUUUUUCCAUGCUGUCAUGUUUGUCAGUGCUGACAUAAUGUAUUUGGCCAUACAGUCUCACAUUUGGCCCCUAACAUUCCAUAUCCAUCAAGAAUAUAAAUGCAUCAUAAAGCUUCUAUCUGUUACAGCAUAUCACACCUUUUAUUUGUAAGCUUGUUGGGCUUUGUUGGCAUCUUAGGAUAUUCACUUUACCACAGACUGGUAACAUCUUUUUGAGGGGGGGAGAUCGUGUAUAUAAGGAAUACAGUUCUGAAAGGACAACCUCAGGCAUCACCCUAAUAAGGCUCAGGGAGUAACUAGCAAGGCUGAGCAUUCAGCAGGUUUUAAAAGUAGUAUGCUAAAAACAAUAAUAAUCCAGACUGGACCUUACAAAAGUGAGGAAACUUCAGUGGAUUCAGACAUAUAUGUAUACCUGGAGAUAUUCAGAAUAUUAUGU